CCUACGGGAGGCAGCAGUGAGGAAUAUUGGACAAUGGAGGAAACUCUGAUCCAGCCAUGCCGCGUGCAGGAAGACUGCCCUAUGGGUUGUAAACUGCUUUUAUACAGGAAGAAACCGCUCUACGUGUAGAGCUCUGACGGUACUGUAAGAAUAAGGAUCGGCUAACUCCGUGCCAGCAGCCGCGGUAAUACGGAGGAUCCAAGCGUUAUCCGGAAUCAUUGGGUUUAAAGGGUCCGUAGGUGGAUAAUUAAGUCAGAGGUGAAAUCUUGCAGCUCAACUGUAAAAUUGCCUUUGAUACUGGUUAUCUUGAGUUAUUAUGAAGUAGUUAGAAUAUGUAGUGUAGCGGUGAAAUGCAUAGAUAUUACAUAGAAUACCAAUUGCGAAGGCAGAUUACUAAUAAUAUACUGACACUGAUGGACGAAAGCGUGGGUAGCGAACAAGAUUAGAUACCCUGGUAGUCCACGCCGUAAACGAUGGUUACUAGCUGUGUGGAUUUCGAUCUGCGUGGCUAAGCGAAAGUGAUAAGUAACCCACCUGGGGAGUACGUUCGCAAGAAUGAAACUCAAAGGAAUUGACGG
rnacentral:rRNA from 1 species